rnacentral:lncRNA from 1 species
AGAACGCGCGAUGAUUCUGGUUGGGGGAGGAUUAGAGUCCAAGAGGCCCGUCCUACCAAGCCGGUUUGAAGAACUGAAAACUGCAAAUCCCAGAUUGCUCCUCGGAGAGGUGGGCUGGUCUCCCAAAGGAUACCCCACCCCUAGCAGAUAAAUUUACCAGGCUGCUCUACUGGUUUAACCAGCAGGAAGUGCGACUAAGCUUCCCGGCCAGCGUCCUAAGAGUGCGAGACCAAACAAUGAGAGAAGAGAGUUAGAAGGUGGAGGGGAAAGAAGAGCGAGUUGCUGCUGGGCAGGUGGCUCUGAAAGUGAGGUAACCCUUUGUAGACCACGCCAACAGAACUCUGUUCGAGAAAGGCAUCCUCGUCUCAUGGAACCGAAAUUGAGAGCCUCGUCCAUCGCUAACGAAACUUUUUGAAAGUGCCAGACGCUGUGCUGAACCUUGGUAUCUUAGUCAAGAGUUUCUGGGUUCCACCAGAGCCAUGCGAAUGUGGUGGAAAAAUCUAAAGUAUAGGACCACUUUGCUGAGUUUAGCUCUAUGGACACUUAGUUGUGACUUGUUUCAUUUCCUUUGAGUCUCACUGUCUAAAAUCUAAAGCAGACUUAGUGUUAGGAACAUUAUAAACUAGAUCUGUAGCCUCAUACACAAAACAACUCUACGACCCUUGCUUGCUACCUGUCCAGGGUCCUGUCCACUGGUGUGUCAUCACUGAUGACACAGAAGGAAGCAAACUUAGUGCCCCUGAGUGCAUUCUCAGAAAGUGACCCCCUUUUCCUCUAAGGUCACCAUGUUGCCAAGCUAAAUAGAAAUUAGGCGUGAAGAUCAUUGAGGGUGGACAUCACAAGUAGCUUCAGAGCCUGCCCCCUGUGUCUUUGGCAGCACACUAAUUUUAAGAUGAAAACGGGCUAAAGAGAUGGCUCAGCAGUUAAGAGCACUGACUGCUCUACUAGAGAUCCUGAGUUCAAUUCCCAGCAACCACAUGGUGGCUCACAACCAUCUGUAAUGAGAUCUGAUGCCCUCUUCUGGUGUGUCUGAAGACAGCUACAGUGUACUCAUACACAUAGAUAAAUAAAUGAAAGAAAAGGGAGGAAGGUAAAAGGAGGCUUUGUAACACACACACACACACACAGCUU